GCAUUCCAGAUUGGUUUGCCAAUGCUGAAAGUGAACUUGGUCUUUCAAACAAAUCACCAACCUUACCUGUAGAAGGGAGAGGCGCUCAUAUGGAAUCAUAUAUGGAAGACUUUGAUGUGCUUCAUGGAGAUGUUCAAGGUCUUUCUGAUACAAUGAGUUUCUUAAAGAGCCUGGCUGAAUUGAACUCAGUAUAUGAUUCGGGAAAG
rnacentral:misc_RNA from 1 species